rnacentral:rRNA from 1 species
AAACCGUUGAAAGGGAAGCGAAUGGAGUUAGCAAUUCGCCUAGCCAGACUCAGUUGCCCGUGCUUCGCGACGUGCGCGCUCUCGAUUCACAUGAACGAGACGUGCACGGGUGCGAUGUGCGAGCGGCGCACUUCUGGCGGGCGAGCGUCAGCGUCGGUUGUCGACGGGCGAUAAGGACGCGAGGAAGGUGAACUUGCUGUUCGCGCAGCGGGUUGUUAAGCCUCGCGAUUCGCAUAGCUCGACGGCGACCGUGGCUCGUGGAGUCGACGCGUGCCUGGCUGGCCACACGUGCGAUCGGUCCGGCAUGUCGAACGCGGCGGACGGCACGCCUGUGCGCCCAAACUGCGGCCGGUCGCUCGCGCGAUGUGUGCUCACUACGCGUCCAAGAUGCUGACGAUCAUACGGCUCCAUCCGACCCGUCUUGAAACACGGACCAAGGAGUCUAACAUGUGCGCGAGUCUCCGGGUGAUGGAAACCCGUGGGCGCAAUGAAAGUAAAGGUCGUCAUCACGACGAUUGAGGUGAGAAGCCGCUUCAAGUGGCCGCAUCAUCGACCGACCUAUUCUGCUCUCAGAAAGGUUUGAGUAAGAGCGUAUCUGUUGGGACCCGAAAGAUGGUGAACUAUGCCUGAAUAGGGUGAAGCCAGCGGAAACACUGGUGGAAGCUCGUAGCGAUUCUGACGUGCAAAUCGAUCGUCGAAUUUGGGUAUAGCGGCGAAAGACUAAUCGAACCAUCUAGUAGCUGGUUCCCUCCGAAGUUUCCCUCAGGAUAGCUGGAGCUCUCACGUGUGCAGU